GGCCGCGUAGCUCAACUGUAUAGAGUAGCUGACUACGGAUCAGCCGGUUGCAGGUUAGAAUCCUGCCGCGGUCAC
rnacentral:tRNA from 1 species